AAGAUUACUGCUACUUAAAGAGUAAUUUUUAGAAGGGAAUUCACCAGCUACUUUUCAGGAGUUGUUUUGAGCUGCAAGACGAACCACAAAGGAGAGUAACCUUGGAUUCUGAGCAGAACAGAAAAGGAACAAGAAUGAAGGAAUAAUGCUAAUGCCCCCUAUUAAGAGCCCUCCAGAAAUGUAGAAAGGAUCUUUGGCUGAGGAAUUGGGAGAGGAGAUGCCUUAGGACCAUCCCCAGUGGUGCUGACCUAUGUUUUGCCACUAGACUCUGAAUGACUGGAGGAGAGAAUGAAGCUGAUGACUUUGCACGGCCCUGUCUCCCUUAAAUCUAUUUUACAUGAUGAAAUUAAACAAAGGUGUGUCGAUAUUCCAUUCCACCUAAAGAGAUUUGGUUCAGGAGUUCUCAGUGAUAUAAAAGGAGUUUAUCCUAAAAAGACAGUUAUCCAUUUUCAUGAAGAAAUGAACAAACAAAAACAAAGAAAAAUCAACAAAACUGUUGGGGGAAAACAGUGUUGAAAAAAAUCUUUUCACUUACAGUCUCCAGUUACAAAAAAAAAAAAAAGUGUGGGAAUUGUCUUUUCAUUUCUCUUCUUUGGGUGUUGCUUGUUUUAUAUAAUUUCAGUUUUUAUUAUGUUGUUUUUUCCAUUCAUAUUGUUCAAGACAUUGUAUUGUGGUUUUCCUGAUUCUGCUUAUUUUUU